rnacentral:rRNA from 1 species
UACGAAGGGGGCUAGCGUUGCUCGGAAUCACUGGGCGUAAAGGGUGCGUAGGCGGGUUUUAAGUCAGAGGUGAAAUCCUGGAGCUCAACUCCAGAACUGCCUUUGAUACUGGAAGUCUUGAGUAUGGGAGAGGUGAGUGGAACUGCGAGUGUAGAGGUGAAAUUCGUAGAUAUUCGCAAGAACACCAGUGGCGAAGGCGGCUCACUGGCCCAUUACUGACGCUGAGGCACGAAAGCGUGGGGAGCAAACAGG